rnacentral:rRNA from 1 species
UACGUAGGGUGCAAGCGUUAAUCGGAAUUACUGGGCGUAAAGCGUGCGCAGGCGGUUUUGUAAGUCUGUCGUGAAAUCCCCGGGCUCAACCUGGGAAUUGCGAUGGAGACUGCAAGGCUAGAAUCUGGCAGAGGGGGGUAGAAUUCCACGUGUAGCAGUGAAAUGCGUAGAGAUGUGGAGGAACACCGAUGGCGAAGGCAGCCCCCUGGGUCAAGAUUGACGCUCAUGCACGAAAGCGUGGGGAGCAAACGAGG